AAACAACGGAGAGUUUGAUCCUGGCUCAGGAUGAACGCUAGCGACAGGCUUAACACAUGCAAGUCGAGGGGCAGCGGGGAUGUAGUAAUACAUCUGCCGGCGACCGGCGCACGGGUGAGUAACACGUAUGCAACCCACCCUCAGCAGGGGGAUAACCCGGAGAAAUCCGGCCUAAUACCGCGUACACCUCCGCAGAGACAUCUCUGUGGAGGGAAAGGAGAGAUCCGGCUGAGGACGGGCAUGCGUCGCAUUAGGUAGACGGCGGGGUAACGGCCCACCGUGCCGAC
rnacentral:rRNA from 1 species